CAGCCGCGGUAAACGUAGGGGGCAAGCGUUAUCCGGAAUCACUGGGCGUAAAGGGUCCGCAGGUGUCCCGUUAAGUUAGAUGUUAAAUCGCAAGGCUCAACCUUGCGGCUGCAUCUAAUACUGACAGGAUAGAGGAUAGGUGACGGAAGUGGAAUUCCUGGUGGAGAGGUAAAAUCCGUAGAUAUCAGGAGGAACACCCGUGGCGUAGGCGGCUUCCGAACCUAUUCCUGACACUCAGGGACGAAAGCUAGGGGAGCAAACAGGAUUAGAUACCCUGGUAGUCCUAGCUGUAAACGAUGAAUACUAGAUAGUGGGUGCUACACCGUACUCACCGUCGUAGCUAACGCGUUAAGUAUUUCGCCUGGGAACUACGAUCGCAAGUUUGAAACUCAAAGGAAUUGACGGGUCCCCGCACAAGCAGCGAGGCAUGUGGCUUAAUUCGAUGCAACACGAAGAACCUUGCCUGGACUUGACAUGUUUCUGAAAGGCCGGAGAAACCCGGUCCCUUCCAGUUUACUGGAACAGUUUCACAGGUGGUGCAUGGUUGUCGUCAGCUCGUGUCGUGAGAUGUAAGGUUAAGUCCUUAAACGAGCGUAACCUUUGUCAUUAGUUGCCACCGGUUCGGCCGAGCACUCUAAUGAGACCGCUAGCGACAAGCUAGAGGAAGAUGGAGAUGACGUCAAAUCCUCACGUCCCUUAUGUCCAGGGCCGCACACAUGCGACAAUGGUAGAGACAGCGGGUUGCGACGGGGUAACCCUGAGCUAAUCCAUAAACUCUGCCUCAGUACAGAUCGAGGGCUGAAAUUCGACCUCGUGAAGAUGGAGUUGCUAGUAAACGCAGGUCAGCUAUACUGCGUUGAAUACGUUCCCGGGGA
rnacentral:rRNA from 1 species